UUUCAUUUUAGGUUCUUAGCGAUGUGAAAGCAGAUAUAUCAGGUAUUCCAGAAGUUACUUUGAACAACCCUCCAUCAAACAACUUACUUUUGGAUUUAUCGAACCAUAUUGGAAAUAGUACUAUGCAACUUGCCAUUGAGCUGGAUCUAGAUUCAAGUACCAUUCAACAAAUACAGUAUAAACAUAAAAACAAACUGCUGGAACAGACUAAGGAGAUUUUGCAGAUCUGGAGUAAGAAGCAGCAACCAAAACCAACUCUGCUUUUAUUAAUCAAAGCUCUGCACAGAAUUGGAAAAAUGGGUUCAUUGAGAGGAAUAACAUUUUGAAAUUGAAUUACCACAAAGAUAAUGAAUGCCAAUGAAGAAUUAUCAAAUGGAAACUUUCCACCAAUUUUCUAUCCUAACUGAAGAUGUUUUACUGCUUCUGAUACUGUUUUGUCAUCAUUAAAUGUUGAAUGUCAGUUUUCCUUUUAAAAAACCUAUGUAUAUAUUUAGUCUGAUUAGACACGCUUUUUAACUUUUAUUUUAGAUACAUCGUUUGAACUGCAUAAUUAAUUAAAAUCACAUAUUAUUUCAUUUCCACGAAAUAGUUGCUCGUUUCCUAGAAAUAAAGUUUUAUUCAAUG